rnacentral:misc_RNA from 1 species
CAGAGUUGCAAACUCCCAACCCUUUGUGAACGCUACUGAAAAGAUGCUUCGGCGGGAGGCUCCUCAGGGAGCGGACCGCCGGAGGAAUCCAAACUCUUGUUUUUUUGGCAUCUCUGAGUAGCUUAUAAAUAAGUU